rnacentral:misc_RNA from 1 species
GAAAUGCGAUAAGUAAUGUGAAUUGCAGAAUUCAGUGAAUCAUCGAAUCUUUGAACGCACAUUGCGCUCCCGGGUAUUCCGGGGAGCAUGCCCGUUUCAGAAUCAUUAAAAAUCUCACAAACCCGGUGCUUUCGAGCAACGUGCGAGUGGAUUUGGAUGUUUUUGCGCUUUGCAAUCAUCUGAAAAUGAUCGUGUGUGCACCAAUUGGUUCAUCCGUUGGGUUCCGAAGUGCAACAGAUUUUAUCUAUUCGCGGAGGUUAACUUUGACAGAUAGCCAGACGGGCGCGCAUUCUCCUACCAUGAUACGGAAGUUGCACCAGCUAGGUGUCGAUUUCUGAUAACUUGGUCUGAAAUCGGGCAAGAAAACCCGCUGAACUUAA